AUGGAGAGGGAUCAGCCAUGUUUAGACAUCAAGGACGAUGGCCGUACACGAGUGAUGAAUUGCGGUGACGCCGACGGCGGCGGCGACAGGAUCAGCUCUCUACCCGACGACGUCCUCCUCGACAUACUCCAAUGCCCCGACCUACGCACGGCGGUCAGGGCGAGCGCCGUGGAGAGGCGAUGGAGGCGCCUCCCGUGCAUGCUCCCCGAUCUCGACAUGGACAUCGCCACCCUUGUACCGCACCGUCGCUCGUGGUUCUCGGUGGAUUGUGUCAUGGCCACGUACACCAAAUCCAUAAUGUGGUUUCUGCUGCCCACCCGUCACCGGACGAGCUUGCGCCUCGCCUUCUACCUUGUGGAAGUAGACCCGUGCCUGCUCUCCAUCGGCGACGCCAUCACCGCCACCACUACCGACCGCCUUGAGCUCACCUUGAGGACUGCAUACGAUGUUGAGUUCGGCGAGUACGAUCGACACCUUGCAUCGUUCUUGGCGGCCUUCCCCACCGCCUUCGCCCGGCUCACCAACAUCACCCUGCACGAGUUCGUCUUCGCCACCAGCUCGGAGAUCACCGGUCUCCUUGACGCUUGCCACGGCCUAGAGCUCCUCUCCUUGACCAGCUGCAGAUGUUUGGACUCCUUUGUGGAGAAAUUGGAAAUCGACGCUCCCAACUCGUCGCUCUUGGCCUUGGAACUCCAUGACUGCUUCUUCCACGGUGUCGAGCUGACCAGACUCCCGAAACUUGACCGCCUUCUGUGCGAUGACUUGACGUUGGUCCAGAGCAUGCGGUUCAGCUCUGUUCCUCUCCUUCGUGCCAUAAGCCUCUCGGCACAGCAUCUGCAAUGCUACAUUCAUAAUCCAGCAUUGCUCUCUCCGGCCUUCAAUAACCUCACAGAUGUUUCUCUUUGCUACAUAGAUAUCCUCAACAUGGCCUGGAUUAUUUCUGUUCUAGACGCUGCGCCCUUCCUGAGCAACCUUUCAAGAUGGGUCAAGUUAGCUUCACAUGCCAGCUCAGGAAAGAUGUUUUUCCGUCUAGCUAUGCUCAAGAACGCGCCUGGUCCACUAUGGUAUCUAUAUAUUGUAGUGAUGAGAUUCCUUGUCUCAACAUUGAUUGAUGCCCUCACCCAGAUAUAA
rnacentral:rRNA from 1 species